AGACUAUUUCUUUCAGGGAUCAUUUCUUUAGUUGUAGACCUGAGAAAUGUGUUUCUAAAGAGUUUGGUCUCGCUGUCCACGACGAAGAGUUCAGAUGUUUCCUUCAGAGCAGGAAGCGGGUGGGAAGGCUUAGUUUCUUCUCCACUGUUGAAGACUGUUCAGAGAUUCCGAGUGAGACUCUGAAGGAGGAAGCAUGUUCUGAGUGGA